CCUUGCAGAAGGAAUACUCGAUGCAUUGUCUGCUACCUCAACAUUCUCAAAAAUGGAACUACACAAUUCCACCACAUCUCCCAGCUUGCGAGAGUGUGCCCUCGUUAACACAAGCAGGAAAAACAUGGGGAAAUGCUUGAACCAAUUUAUCAUCUGCAGUUUUGAUUUCUGGGUUAUCUACUACUUCUAACACAGGAGUGACGUUACCACCAGUGAUAUUGUUCCCUAGUAGCAAUGGGACUCCUUUUACAGGCAGUGUUGACACUACACCAACAUGGAAACGUCCUGAUACCAAGUCUGACACUAAGUGGACCCAGUGUAAUGGUACAGAGAGCUGUGUUGCUAUGGGAACGGGAACUGUAUGUUCCAUUUUGUUACUCUGCAUCUGCCCCUACUGCCACACCUUCCCUGCAAAUGACUGCCAGGUGAGCCUGAACUUUGCAGCUGAGGCAGAGAGGUUCUGUGCAGCCUUGGAGAGACAGAUCCAACAAGCCCCAGAUUUGGAAAGCAACACACACGUCACAUCACAUUUACAAUAUAAUUAGUUCUCUCAGCUUCAGGCAGGCCAGUCCUCUUCUCUUUCUCCCCUCGUCUCCAAUUCCCCGAUCUCGCUGUCUCACGUCACUCUCUCAUUUUCUCCCCAUAACACUUUAUUUUACUCUUUAUCUCUUGCUGUCUCUCUCCCUCUCUUUUUCAAACAGAGCUAGUGGGCAGACUCAGCUGAACCGUACUGACAGUGUAAACUCUGCCUCAGGCUGUUUGUGUGAACAGGAACAGAGCAGAUCUGGGAUCAGCACUCCAUCUCCAGAUGUGUCAGAACGAGAAAUAUAUAGGCCAACAUCAGCACACUGGAGCUCAGACAGACCCAGAUAAUUCACUAUUAGAUACAUUUUAUGAUGCUGCAUUAGAAUGGAAGAAAAUAUAAAUGGCUGUCUGACUGAUUUAUACUUGUCUCUUAUCCAGACAGUAGUUCCAGGUGGGAGUGGGCCCAGAGCAAGGCCUCAGUUGAGCUGGACCCUGCUCUGAGGAAGCUGCUCAGGAAGGCGGGGAUAAACGAGGAGGAUAUGAAGGACAGACACACCCUCCUCCUAGAGGGGCACACCCUGAGAUGAUCAGAAAGAGCUUUUGAUCAUCUGUGACGCAGUGGUGACCUGUCAUUCAGGGCGGAGCCCCACCUGUUAAGCUUUUUGUUGCCUGUUUUUCGUGUUAUUUUGGCAUUAAUACAUGUCACACAUGUUCGCAAACAAUGUAAAAUAAUCAUUGAGUUAAUAAAGCUACA